ensembl:rRNA 5S_rRNA 5S ribosomal RNA
GUCUAUGGCCAUACCACCAUGAACACGCCCGAUCUCAUCUGAUCUCUGAAGCUAAGCAGGGUCAGGCCUCGUUAGUACUUGGAUGGGAGAUACCAGAUUGGUGAAUUUAUAGUAGUUGCUAGUCU